rnacentral:rRNA from 1 species
CCUGGGGAGUACGGUCGCAAGAUUAAAACUCAAAGGAAUUGACGGGGACCCGCACAANACGGUGGAUGAUGUGGAUUAAUUCGAUGCAACGCGAAAAACCUUACNUACCCUUGACAUGGUCGGAACCUGGCUGAAAGGCUGGGGUGCUCGAAAGAGAACCGAUACACAGGUGCUGCAUGGCUGUCGUCAGCUCGUGUCGUGAGAUGUUGGGUUAAGUCCCGCAACGAGCGCAACCCUUGUCCUUAGUUGCUACGCAAGAGCACUCUAAGGAGACUGCCGGUGACAAAUCCGGAGGAAGGUGGGGAUGACGUCAAGUCCUCAUGGCCCUUAUGGGUAGGGCUUCACACGUCAUACAAUGGUCGGAACAGAGGGCUGCCAACUCCGUGAGGGGGAGCUAAUCCCAGAAAACCGAUCGUAGUCCGGAUCGUAGUCUGCAACUCGAGCUAGCGUGAAGUCUGGAACUCGNCUAGUAAUCGCGGAUCAGCAUG